rnacentral:rRNA from 1 species
GGCCCAGACUCCUACGGGAGGCAGCAGUGGGGGAUAUUGCACAAUGGGGGGAACCCUGAUGCAGCGACGCCGCGUGGGCGAUGGAGUACUUCGGUAUGUAAAGCCCUAUCAGCAGGGAAGAAAAUGACGGUACCUGACUAAGAAGCCCCGGCUAAAUACGUGCCAGCAGCCGCGGUAAUACGUAUGGGGCAAGCGUUAUCCGGAUUUACUGGGUGUAAAGGGAGCGUAGGCGGGAAGCCAAGUCAGCUGUGAAAACUACGGGCUUAACCUGUAGACUGCAGUUGAAACUGGCUUUCUUGAGUGAAGUAGAGGUUGGCGGAAUUCCGAGUGUAGCGGUGAAAUGCGUAGAUAUUCGGAGGAACACCGGUGGCGAAGGCGGCCAACUGGGCUUUAACUGACGCUGAGGCUCGAAAGUGUGGGGAGCAAACAGGAUUAGAUACCCCCGUAGAA